rnacentral:rRNA from 1 species
AUUGAACGCUGGCGGCAGGCUUAACACAUGCAAGUCGAGCGGAGUGAUGGUGCUUGCACUAUCACUUAGCGGCGGACGGGUGAGUAAUGCUUAGGAAUCUGCCUAUUAGUGGGGGACAACAUUUCGAAAGGAAUGCUAAUACCGCAUACGUCCUACGGGAGAAAGCAGGGGAUCUUCGGACCUUGCGCUAAUAGAUGAGCCUAAGUCGGAUUAGCUAGUUGGUGGGGUAAAGGCCUACCAAGGCGACGAUCUGUAGCGGGUCUGAGAGGAUGAUCCGCCACACUGGGACUGAGACACGGCCCAGACUCCUACGGGAGGCAGCAGUGGGGAAUAUUGGACAAUGGGCGCAAGCCUGAUCCAGCCAUGCCGCGUGUGUGAAGAAGGCCUUAUGGUUGUAAAGCACUUUAAGCGAGGAGGAGGCUACUCUAGUUAAUACCUAGGGAUAGUGGACGUUACUCGCAGAAUAAGCACCGGCCAACUCUGUGCCAGCAGCCGCGGUAAUACAGAGGGUGCAAGCGUUAAUCGGAUUUACUGGGCGUAAAGCGCGCGUAGGCGGCUAAUUAAGUCAAAUGUGAAAUCCCCGAGCUUAACUUGGGAAUUGCAUUCGAUACUGGUUAGCUAGAGUGUGGGAGAGGAUGGUAGAAUUCCAGGUGUAGCGGUGAAAUGCGUAGAGAUCUGGAGGAAUACCGAUGGCGAAGGCAGCCAUCUGGCCUAACACUGACGCUGAGGUGCGAAAGCAUGGGGAGCAAACAGGAUUAGAUACCCUGGUAGUCCAUGCCGUAAACGAUGUCUACUAGCCGUUGGGGCCUUUGAGGCUUUAGUGGCGCAGCUAACGCGAUAAGUAGACCGCCUGGGGAGUACGGUCGCAAGACUAAAACUCAAAUGAAUUGACGGGGGCCCGCACAAGCGGUGGAGCAUGUGGUUUAAUUCGAUGCAACGCGAAGAACCUUACCUGGCCUUGACAUAGUAAGAACUUUCCAGAGAUGGAUUGGUGCCUUCGGGAACUUACAUACAGGUGCUGCAAGGCUGUCGUCAGCUCGUGUCGUGAGAUGUUGGGUUAAGUCCCGCAACGAGCGCAACCCUUUUCCUUAUUUGCCAGCGAGUAAUGUCGGGAACUUUAAGGAUACUGCCAGUGACAAACUGGAGGAAGGCGGGGACGACGUCAAGUCAUCAUGGCCCUUACGGCCAGGGCUACACACGUGCUACAAUGGUCGGUACAAAGGGUUGCUACCUAGCGAUAGGAUGCUAAUCUCAAAAAGCCGAUCGUAGUCCGGAUUGGAGUCUGCAACUCGACUCCAUGAAGUCGGAAUCGCUAGUAAUCGCGGAUCAGAAUGCCGCGGUGAAUACGUUCCCGGGCCU